GUUUUGGCACCGGAGGAUUGCUGGAGCCCGCCGAGGUGCGCCGAGCCCUCCCAGAGAGGGGCCCGUCCCGGCACGCAGGCAGCAGCAUCAGCAUUAGAUCAGCGCUGGCGCUGCGGCUCGUGUUUCUCUUGCUUGCUGAAGAUAUUUGAUUAAGCUCGGCUGUCGCUGACGGUCCUCUUGGCUCGGGCUCUGACACUGACUUAGACCUGCCGAGUCCCUCUGUUUCUCGGUUUCACUCUGGCUAACAAAGCCUGGGCUGCGGAGGAAACCUGCUUCCUGGUGCUCCCACUCUGCUGCUCUCCCCUUACUGGUCCCGAGUCCUUAGAGAUGGGAAUUGAAGUUUCUUCACCAUGGUGUCUCUGCGCCCUGCUCUUCUUGCUGCCUCCCCAGAGUGCACUGUGCGGCUUCGGGCAGGAUGGGCCGCGCUCCUCCAUCUCCGGCUCACCUACCUCCUCAAGCAUGGAUGUGGCUGUCCGGUUUCCUGAGUCGUGUAUUAUUCCUACAGUGUCUCAGUGAUGCUGUAGGCUUUUGUGCUAAUUUUGUGCUUUAACUUUUGUGCUUUAACUAAUCGUUGACUUAAAAAAUUGCCCAGAUCCUCAGGAAAA